rnacentral:rRNA from 1 species
GUCCAUGCCGUAAACGUUGGGCACUAGGUGUGGGCCUGUUUCCACGGGUUCUGCGCCGUAGCUAACGCAUUAAGUGCCCCGCCUGGGGAGUACGGCCGCAAGGCUAAAACUCAAAGGAAUUGACGGGGCCCGCACAAGCGGCGGAGCAUGCGGAUUAAUUCGAUGCAACGCGAAGAACCUUACCAAGGCUUGACAUACACCGGAAUCAUGCAGAGAUGUGUGAGCCCUUGUGGCUGGUGUACAGGUGGUGCAUGGUUGUCGU